rnacentral:rRNA from 1 species
AAACGGACGCUAAUACCGCAUACGUCCUACGGGAGAAAGCAGGGGACCUUCGGGCCUUGCGCUAUCAGAUGAGCCUAGGUCGGAUUAGCUAGUUGGUGAGGUAAUGGCUCACCAAGGCGACGAUCCGUAACUGGUCUGAGAGGAUGAUCAGUCACACUGGAACUGAGACACGGUCCAGACUCCUACGGGAGGCAGCAGUGGGGAAUAUUGCACAAUGGGCGAAAGCCUGAUGCAGCCAUGCCACGUGUGUGAAGAAGGCCUUCGGGUUGUAAAGCACUUUCAGCGAGGAGGAAGCGAUAAAUGCCAAUACCAUUUAUUUUUGACGUUACUCGCAGAAGAAGCACCGGCUAACUCCGUGCCAGCAGCCGCGGUAAUACGGAGGGUGCGAGCGUUAAUCGGAAUAACUGGGCGUAAAGGGCAUGUAGGCGGUGAGUUAAGUCAGAUGUGAAAUCCCCGAGCUCAACUUGGGAAUGGCAUUUGAAACUGGGUCGCUAGAGUUUUCUAGAGGGGGGUAGAAUUCCAGGUGUAGCGGUGAAAUGCGUAGAUAUCUGGAGGAAUACCGGUGGCGAAAGCGGCCCCCUGUAGAAAGACUGACGCUGAGUGCGAAAGCGUGGGGAGCAAACAGAUUAGAUACCCUGGUAGUCCACGCUGUAAACGAUGUCGAUUUGGAGGUUGCGGUCCUGAACUGUGGGCGUCCAGGAGCUAACGCGUUAAAUCGACCCGCCUGGGGGAGUACGGCCGCAAGGUUUAAAACUAAAUAGAAUUUGACGGGGGCCCGCACAAGCGGUGGAGCAUGUGGUUUAAUUCGAUGACACGCGAAGAACCUUACCUACUCUUGACAUCCACGGAACUGCCAGAGAUGCGCAGGUGCCUUCGGGAACCGUGAGACAGGUGCUGCAUGGCUGUCGUCAGCUCGUGUUGUGAAAUGUUGGGUUAAGUCCCGCAACGAGCGCAACCCUUGUCCUUUGUUGCCAUCGCGUAGAGGCGGGAACUCAAAGGAGACUGCCGGUGAUAAACCGGAGGAAGGUGGGGACGACGUCAAGUCAUCAUGGCCCUUACGAGUAGGGCUACACACGUGCUACAAUGGCGUAUACAAAGGGAUGCGACCCUGCAAGGGCAAGCGGAACUCAGAAAGUACGUCGUAGUCCGGAUUGGAGUCUGCAACUCGACUCCAUGAAGUCGGAAUCGCUAGUAAUCGUAGAUCAGAAUGCUAC